ensembl:lncRNA
GUCCCUUCUCAGAAGGGACUCACUGACUAUUCCGUAAUGUUUCCAAAACAUGAUGCAGCCUGAGGUGUGGUUUUGGGUGUCUGAGAAGCAAAGAAGCAUGAAAUGAAGCAGGACAUCAAGCUUGCUUUUGCCUGAAGACCCACGAGCUUUGAGGUGAAUGUUGGAAGUGCUAUAUGAAGGUGAGCUACUGUACAUCUCUUCCUCAUUCUACAUUCAAUGACAUCAUGUUGUGAUACCAAAGGAAGAAAUUGACCUAAUAACCAGCCUAGGAUCCUGAAACAUCUGGGGACUAUCACAGAAGAAACAGAAUUA